rnacentral:rRNA from 1 species
UUUCACUUCAAUACAAGGCAUUUCCUCCUUCUAGUACCACCGUGUGUGCUCCAAGCUUCAAGUGUUGUGUAGUAGUAGUCUAGUACUACUACUACGUGUGUGUGUGUGAUACACUAGUGAGUGUGUGAGUAGUACGUGUGUGUGCUCAUCCACCGGUCGUUCAUCAGUGUACUCGAGUGCUAGCAAGUAGUUCCGGGCUAACAGUUUCUUGGUGGAUAGUAUUAACUUUGGAAACUUUCCAACAAUUGGUAAUAUAUAUAUGGUGCGCGGGUUAAUAGAUACUCCUAUAUAUAAACGGCGGCGUUUCCCAGUAAUAUUAUUAUUGGAAGCAUAUUUCAGAAAUUACAAUCCUUAUAAAUUGGUUUACAGAGUAUUAAGACUACGUUGUUAUAUUUAUUUAAUUUCCUUUGCCUACCUACUUACUCCCAUGCCUGCGGGUUAGUAAGCUCAAUACAUAUUGGUUUACACUCGUGUUUUGUAUAGCCUAAUUGACAUGAUGAUUCUUACAUGUUCAUAGAGCCAUGCUAAGAUGCAUAACCGGUAAAUAUUUGCAUGGGUCAUUAUACUUUUGUGUUCCCUUUAUGUCGCCGUACGUACUUUCUCUCAUGCUGUCAUGCAUGAUGACCGUUUCUUGUAACGCAAUGCGUCUAUUUACAGACAUUCUAUCAUGCAUGGUGACCGUUUCAUGCAACGUAAUGCAAGGUCGUACGUCUCUCUAGGUACUUUCUUUCACGUAGGAUGGCCAUCUCUUGUAACGUAAUGCAAUGUUAUGUGAAUCAUGCUUACUCUAGUUUAUGUUAAUACCUGAUACAUAAGAAUAAGUUUUUGUGCUUUCAGUUAGUUGGGUGACACUAAUUAAUAUUUAUUUGGUUUAUUUUGCACGACUAAUAAUUUUACACAGGAGCCACCCUCGACCCCUGCAUCGCCUCCCUGGCAGCUCGGGGGUGAAAACCCUAAAGGUCGCAACUCCUCCCCUUCCCCAUCCUAGUCUCGACGUUUGGAGGGGAGGGUGCUCCUUGGCAUAGUUUGGGUUGGCCCUAUGGAAUGUCGUAGCGGGGCCCUUGUUUCGUCAGUCGUGAUGUGACGAAUGGUGGCCCUUGCACUACACUAGUGCAGAACCGGGCUAUAGCCCCGGUUUGUAAGGGGCUUUAGUGCCGGUUCUGCAACCGUCAGUAAAGGGUGCGGACUAAAGGUCCCCCCUAGUACCGGUUUUGCACGAACCGCCACGAAAGUGCCACCGCGUGGCACGAGCCGGGGCCGGUGGCUGGAGACCUUUAGUACCGGUUGGUAACACCAACCAGUACUAAAUGUUUGGGCUAUUUUGGUUUUAUUUUUUAUUUUUUUUUCAUUUUUUCAAUUUAAUUUAGAGAUUAUUUUUACAUUAUAAUGAGUUGUUAAAUCAUUAGGUGAAAGUACUGCAGAUUAGUUUCAAUUGGGAUGCAUGAAUGGAUCGUAGCUAAGUGAUCAAAUUAUAUAUGCCAUAUCCAUAUUACUUGAUCACUUAUAUUAGGUGAGAAAGUAAUAUGGUAUGGCAUAUAUACUUGAUCACUUAGCUAGCUAGGAUCCAUCCAGUUGAAACUAAUCUGCGGUUUCUUUCAUAAAUGAUAUAAUAACUCAUCAUAGUCGUCAUUAGCACUAUUUAAUCAUCAUAGUCAUUACCACUAUCUAAUCACCACCAAUAUAUAUAUACUAGCUUAAAGAAGAAACAUUCACCUGUACCAGAAGGAAAGAUAUCAUUGAGUUCAAUAUGGUCAUGAUUAUAAGCGUUCAUAUAUAAGACCACAAAAGAAAAUCACUCUUUGAGAUUAAGUUCAGGACGAAGAACACGAAAAGCAUGCUAAUCACUCCUGCUGCUCUAUCUCAGGUAAAAUAGCAUAGAACAUGUAUAGCUCUCCUGAUUCAUCAUAUUGGAGCAUGCUAGUGAACCUGCCUCCUAAUUGUGGGCUGGGCUUCUGAUUGCUUCCCCCUAGUACUUCUCUGCGAUCGUGGACAAUUCUACUCCAGUCUCUCACUAUUAAGCAUUCCUCCUAAUCUUGAAUGCACUAAAGUGCAUUAUAGGAGGUCUUGGCCGUAAGCUAACCAUUCUCAUGCGACCUUUAGUCUCGAUCCACUGAGGCAGAACAUUCAUCGGGAGUCCCUGUAGAAGAACAUCGUAUAGUAACAUACUUAGCAAUGAAGUUUCGCUUAAAAAAUAAUGUAUGCAAAAGAUGCACUGAGAAAAAAUAGUAAAAAUCUUACCAUCUUUCCUAAAUAGAUGUGACCGUAGCUCAAUACGAUCACUAUUGGUCGCACGUUUUGAGUACUGAGAUUUUUAAGUCCAGAAAAAUAAUUUGCCUUGACAGUAUGAAGAUCCUCAAGCCAUGAAACAUAAUGACUUAUCUCCUCGCAGUUUAGUUCUGCCCCGAGACAGUGGAAGGUCCUGUCUACCAAGCGCUCGACAAGUUUGCUUGAAUGGAAAUAAGUUGUCAAUAGAAAUUAGUUGUCAACUUUUUUUGAAAAAACAAUAUCAAAGACAUAAAUAUGGUUGAGAAACUCACAUAAUGGUAGAACUGGAGGCGUCUGCACCUCGACCCAAAUGUCUCUAUUACCUUCAAUAUUAUCUUCGGGGCGAAUAUCAAAGGUGAUAAACAUGCCAUGCUCAAAUGCAUAAGCCUUGCAUAGUGCUUGCCAAGUUUUGCAUUCAAAAUGGGUGUAGAUUUCUUGAUUGUAUAAUUUGACGUUGAAGGUAUAACCAUGCUCGGUCUUCAAGUAAACUCUCUUUACCUCCAUAGUUUUGUUAGGACUGAAACCUAUCUUAUCCAAGACAAAAAAUUUUGCAUGACAGGGGAUACGCUAAUAGAAUAGUGAAAAUUUAAAAUAAUAAGUUGAAGCAAAUCAAGCAUAUCUAAGUCAUGCUUAAUUACGAAAAAAGACUUGUCAUUGUGACUUACUGUAUCCACUUCGAAGGUCUCAUCCAGCUUGAUACUGAAGCGUCUAUCAUCAACUAGGAAAUUUUUGUCGCACAGGCCGCGUUGGUCUUCGCAGUCUUCGCACAUAAUGAAAUCGUUUACGUCGUCAGACGACAUUUCCUAUAUAUGUUCAUAGGUGAAACAUUAAACACUUAUUAGUUAUAUUAAUUCAACUAAUUAGACUAGUUCUAUUAAUUCAACUAGCUAGUUCACUAAUUAAUUCAAGUAAGCACUUACUAAAAAUAUACCUAAAUAAAGUAUAGCUCAUAAUUCAACUAAUUCAACUAACUAGUUCAAGUAAUUCAAUUAAUUCAACUAAUUAGACUAGUUCUAUUAAUUCAACUAAUUAAUUCAACUAAUUAAUUCAACUAAGCACUUACUAAAAAUAUACCUAAAUAAAGUAUAGCUCAUAAUUCAACUAAUUCAACUAACUAGUUCAAGUAAUUCAAUUAAUUCAACUAAUUAGACUAGUUCUAUUAAUUCAACUCGCUAGUUCAACUAAUUAAUUCAAUUAAGCACUUACUAAAGAUAUACCUAAAUAAAGUAUAGCUCCUAAUUCAACUAACUAGUUCAACUAAUUCAACUAAUUCAACAAAACUAGUUCUAUUAAUUCAACUAAAUUUUAAUUAGAUGAUCAAAUCUCAUAUACCUAAAUUUAAUACAUAUUAAUUCAUAUAACAUUAAUAAAAAAUCAUCUAUAACUAAAAGUAUAAAAAACUAACUCAUCUAACAUUAUCUAAUUCUUAUAUAAUCUAACAUUUAUAUAAUCUAAUAUUUUGACAUUAAACAUUUGUGUGUGUGCGCGCGCAUUUGUGUGUACUUUUGUGUGUGUGCGUGUGUGCAUAUAUGUGUGAACAGGAUCAGGCCGCCGGCGC